rnacentral:misc_RNA from 1 species
UGAGAGGCACGGCCGGUGG